GAUGAACGCUGACAGAAUGCUUAACACAUGCCAGUCUUUGGCGAAGCUGUGCUUGCACAGCCUAGCCAAGGCGGACGGGUGAGUAACGCGUAAGGAACUUGCCCUGCAGUCAGGGAUAACAGACGGAAACGACUGAUAAGACCUGGUAAAGUCAGGCGGACUCAUGUCCAGCCUGAUGAAAAGAGAUGCUGCAGGAGAGCCUUGCGUCCUAUUAGCUUGUUGGUGGGGUAACGGCCCACCAAGGCGAUGAUAGGUAGCCGGCCUGAGAGGGUGGACGGCCACAAGGGGACUGAGAUACGGCCCUUACUCCUACGGGAGGCAGCAGUGGGGAAUAUUAGACAAUGGGGGCAACCCUGAUCCAGCAAUUCUGUGUGCACGAUGAAGGUUUUCAGAUUGUAAAGUGCUUUCAGCAGGGAAGAAAAAAUGACGGUACCUGCAGAAGAAGCGACGGCUAAAUACGG
rnacentral:rRNA from 1 species